rnacentral:rRNA from 1 species
UACGUAGGGUGCAAGCGUUGUCCGGAAUUACUGGGCGUAAAGCGUGCGCAGGCGGUUUGUUAAGUCUGCUGUGAAAUCCCCGAGCUCAACUUGGGAAUUGCAGUGGAUACUGGCAGGCUGGAGUAUGGUAGAGGCAGGUGGAAUUCCCGGUGUAGUGGUGAAAUGCGUAGAGAUCGGGAGGAACACCCGUGGCGAAGGCGGCCUGCUGGGCCGGUCCUGACGCUGAUGCGCGAAGGCGUGGGGAGCGAACGGG